ensembl:miRNA
UUAGGUUGGUGCAAAAGUGACUGUGGUUUUUGCCAUUGAAAGUAAUGGCAAAAACAUCAAUUACUUUUGCAUCAACCUAAUAAAA